rnacentral:rRNA from 1 species
UACGUAUGAGGCGAGCGUUAUCCGGAAUUACUGGGCGUAAAGGGCGUGUAGGCGGCCUUUUAAGUUGGCGGUGAAAGCUCCCGGCUCAACCGGGAGAGGUCUGCCAAUACUGAAGGGCUAGAGGACAGCAGAGGAAGGUGGAAUUCCCGGUGUAGCGGUGACAUGCGUAGAUAUCGGGAGGAACACCAGUGGCGAAGGCGGCCUUCUGGGCUGUGCCUGACGCUGAGGCGCGAAAGCGUGGGGAGCGAAGCGGAUUAGAUACCCCCGUA